AGAGUUUGAUCAUGGCUCAGGAUGAACGCUAGCGGCAGGCUUAAUACAUGCAAGUCGAGGGGCAGCAUAGGUAGCAAUACUUGAUGGCGACCGGCAAACGGGUGCGGAACACGUACGCAACCUUCCUUUAAGUGGAGAAUAGCUUUCGGAAACGAAAAUUAAUACUCCGUAAUAUUAUGAAAUGGCAUCAUUUUAUGAUUAUAGAUUUAUCGCUUAAAGAUGGGCGUGCGCCUGAUUAGGUAGUUGGCGGGGUAACGGCCCACCAAGCCUUCGAUCAGUAACUGGCGUGAGAGCGCGACCAGUCACACGGGCACUGAGACACGGGCCCGACUCCUACGGGAGGCAGCAGUAAGGAAUAUUGGUCAAUGGACGCAAGUCUGAACCAGCCAUGCCGCGUGGAGGAUGAAGGUCCUCUGGAUUGUAAACUUCUUUUAUUUGGGACGAAAAAAGAUCAUUCUUGAUCACUUGACGGUACCAGAUGAAUAAGCACCGGCUAACUCCGUGCCAGCAGCCGCGGUAAUACGGAGGGUGCAAGCGUUAUCCAGAUUUACUGGGUUUAAAGGGUGCGCAGGCGGAUAUGUAAGUCAGUGGUGAAAUCUCUAGGCUUAACCUGGAAAUUGCCGUUGAUACUAUAUAUCUUGAAUGCUGUGGAGGUAAGCGGAAUAUGUCAUGUAGCGGUGAAAUGCUUAGAUAUGACAUAGAACACCUAUUGCGAAGGCAGCUUACUACGCAGAUAUUGACGCUCAUGCACGAAAGCGUGGGGAUCAAACAGGAUUAGAUACCCUAGUAGUCC
rnacentral:rRNA from 1 species